UUUGUUAUUAGUGAAAUAUAUUUCUUUUAUUGUCUGUUAAUCAGUCUUUUGAAAAAGUUUAAUCUUUAAAAAAAUAGAUACUGGACUCGAGUUCAGUUAAAGUAACACCCAGAUCUUUUUUGUAAGUCCCAGAUCUGCACCAUUUGAAGACAUGUUUUUAAAAAAGUAUAAUCAUUGUAGGUAAGUCCAAAAAACAAAAAUAAUCUUCACCAAAUAAAUGUUGAUAAAAUAAAAUUUUAUAGUAAACAAUUUAAAAUCUUUCAAUGAUCUUUGAACAAAUAACAGAUCAAAUUUAAAAAAUGUGGAUGACAACACACUCUGGUAAUGGAAGUACUUACUAAUAUUUAACAAACAGUAAAAAAAAAAAAGGUAAUAGGUUGGACUGAAGUAUUUUUAAUGAAUGA